rnacentral:rRNA from 1 species
UGGGGAAUAUUGGACAAUGGGCGAAAGCCUGAUCCAGCCAUGCCGCGUGAGUGAUGAAGGCCUUAGGGUUGUAAAGCUCUUUCAGUGGGGACGAUAAUGACGGUACCCACAGAAGAAGCCCCGGCUAACUUCGUGCCAGCAGCCGCGGUAAUACGAAGGGGGCUAGCGUUGUUCGGAUUUACUGGGCGUAAAGCGCACGUAGGCGGAUUGGUCAGUUAGAGGUGAAAUCCCGGAGCUCAACUCCGGAACUGCCUUUAAUACUGCCAAUCUAGAGUCCGGAAGAGGUGAGUGGAACUCCUAGUGUAGAGGUGGAAUUCGUAGAUAUUAGGAAGAACACCAGUGGCGAAGGCGGCUCACUGGUCCGGUACUGACGCUGAGGUGCGAAAGCGUGGGGAGCAAACAGG